GUCCACGCCUAACGAUGUCAACUGGUUGUUGGGUCUUCACUGACUCAGUAACGAAGCUAACGCGUGAAGUUGACCGCCUGGGGAGUACGGCCGCAAGGUUGAACUCAAAGGAAUUGACGGGACCCGCACAAGCGGUGGAUGAUGUGGUUUAAUUCGAUGCAACGCGAAACCUUACCCACCUUUGACAUGUACGGAAUUCGCCAGAGAUGGCUUAGUGCUCGAAAGAGAGCCGUAACACAGGUGCUGCAUGGCUGUCGU
rnacentral:rRNA from 1 species